rnacentral:lncRNA from 1 species
GUAUUUUCUUUAUCUGUUUGGGACUCUUGUUGUUUCCUGCUGGGGACUUUGUUGGACUUUUCUGCUUUAUUGACUCUAAAUGUGCUCCUUUCUCAUAUGAGCGGGCUUUUGACUUCAACACUUCAAUUGUAUUCCCUUGUUCUCCAGGUGGGUGCCUGACUUCUUCAAUUCUCAUCCUCAUUCUCCAGGUGGACGCCUGAUUUCUUCUUUAAUUCUUCAUCCUCAUUCUCCAGGUGGACGCCUGAUUUCUUUAAUUCUCAUCCUCAUUCUCCAGGUGGACGCCUGACUUCUUCUUUAAUUCUUUUCAUCCUCAUUCUCCAGGUGGACGCCUGACUUCUUCUUUAAUUCUUUUCAUCCUCAUUCUCCAGGUGGACACCUGAUUUCUUUAAUUCUCAUCAUCAUUCUCCAGGUGGACGCCUGAUUUCUU